UAAACAUGCAUAUAAAUAAACAAACCCGCCACUUCCAAUAGCUAUUUAACUUCUAAAAUAAAAUUACCCACCUAAUGACAAUAAGCAUCACAUCGAUCAUAGAAGUCCGAUCGUAAUAUGUCACAGGAAUUUAAACUUAUCACUUCAACUACUCCACUUUAAAGAAGUAUUUUUAAGAUCACCAGCCAAGCCAUGCUCAAUAUCCUUGGCCCUCACUAUCCUGGAGGGGAAUGAGCGUCUACCAAAACAUUUAAAACACUAUCUGUCUGUCGAUUCCUCACCUCGCUAGAGAACUGCGUUCUCACCACUAAUUUUUCUGAUUUUCUCAUUUCAGGUCUAACCUAUGGAUUCCACCCGGGCACCUCAGCUCUCCCUUCCUAUCCUAAUAUUCAGUCAGCUUUUGCUGAUUGAACCAGAAAUUGUGGAUCAUCUUAUUUAAAAAAGAAAUCGACAACCACUUUAUGUUUGACCAUUCUCUGCCCCACCACUCAAGAAACUUUGGUCACUGGCUACAGAAGUGGACCCCAACUCAACGCCUGUCCAUCCCUUUCCACAAAUGACAUUACCUUAAGCCACCCCCAUUAUAACCUCCACCAAACUCCAUAUCACUUACCAUUAAAGUAGUAGCCCUCAGACCCUUCAGUCACACAUCACAGCAUGAAACAUUUAAACUCAACCCUCACUCCAACCCACCAUAGCAGAUCUAAUUUUGUGUGAUGAGGAAAGAAAAGGUUUCCUCGUCCUGCAAAGUAAGAUAGAUCUAUUGACAAAGAACAUUUCAUUUACAUCUUCAACAUUCCUGCCCUCACCCAACCAGUCCAAACUCUCUAGUAUACCUACACUCGAGGAUUAUAAGAAACAAACCCCCUAGCCCCCCUUUUUACUGAUGACGCUAAUCGUCCAGUAUCACAUCUCUGGUUCCAGAAACACUUCAAAGUUGUCCACCUCUCAGGAUUUCCUCCUGAACCAAUCCCCAGCCAUUCAUUCAGAAUUGGCAUUAUUAAAAGGCUUUCCCAGCACCUGAUCCAGACCCUUGGUCAUUGGUUCUCUGAAGCCUUUCAAAUCCUACAUUCGCCUCAGUCUUUUCAUCUCAAAGAACCCAAGUUGUUUCUUUCAAACCUCUCAGCCCAAUCUUGGCCACCCCUUUAUUCUCAAGCCAAAGCCAUCUAUCUGUCCAUCCCUAGCAAACCCCCUCACGGCUCAGACUCCCGCUGGAGUAAAUAUGAGCUUCAGCUCUCGCAGAGCUUAACAUGACCCUCUUUCUGUUCCCCCUGCCAGCAUUGAGUUCCUCUGCUGUUUCCUCCUAGUUCUUUACUCCCUGCCUUUGACUCUCAUGUAAUCUCCUUGCUACAUCAGCAUCACCCUAAGCUCAGAUUUCGCAGGGGUCAACAUGAGCUUUGGCUCUGACAAGAGCCUACCCUAUCACCCUCUCCUUUCUGUUUCCCCUGCCAGCGUUGAGUAAUUCCGCUGUUCCCUCCUAGCUCUUUACCCCUUGCCUUUGGCUCUCUGGUAACCCCCUUGCUCCAUCUGCAUCACUCAAGCUCAGACUCUCGCAAGGGUCAACACGAGCUUCGGCUCUCGCAAGAGCCUCACCUUUCACCCUCUCCUUUCUGUUCCUCCUGCCAGUGUUGAGUGCUUCCACUGUUCCCUCCUAGCUCUUUACCCCUCGCCUUUGGCUCUCUUGUUACCACCUUGCUCAAUCUGCUUCAAGCUCAGACUCCUGUAGGGGUCAACACAAGUUUCGGCUCUCCCAAGAGCCUCCCCUUUCACCCUCUCUUUUCUGUUAUCCCUGCCAGCAUUGAGUACUUCCGCUGUUUCCUCCUAGCUCUUCACCCCUUGCCUUUGGCCCUCUCAUAACCUCCUUGCUAUAUCUGCAUCACCCUAAGCUCAGACUCCCACAGGGGUCAAUGCAAGCUGUGGCUCUCUUAAGAACCUCACCUAUCAACCUCUCCUUUCUGUAUGCCCUGCCAGCGAUAAGCGCUUCUGCUGUUCCCUCCAAUCUCUUAACUCCUUGCCUUGACUCUCAACUAACCUCUUUGCUCCAUCUUAGCAUCACCCUAAGCUCAGACCCCCACAGGGGUCAACACGAGCUUCGGCUCUCGCAAGAGCCUCCCCUAUCACCCUCACCUUCCUGUUUCCACUGCCAGAAAUGAGUGCUUAUGCUGCAUCAAUUUAUUUAUUCUGUAUUGUCAUUCAUCAGUAUCUACAUUUUGUUUAAUCUGUAUAGUAGUUCAUUAGCAUUACAUGUUAUCAUAUUCUGUAUUUUGCAUAGUAAUCUCGUUACCUCCAACAGCUCUCCCCUUUUUCUUUCCCCCCUGUCAGCGUUGUAUGCUCCCUCUGCCUUAGUAUCUUAUUGCAUAAUUUGUAUAUUCUGUAUAGUACUUGUGUUGGAUAUUUGUGUUUCUUACAGCUGCUCUCCCCCCUUUUUCCUGCCCUGCAGCAUCAAGCACCUUUGCAGCUCCAAUUAAUUUAUUUUGCAUAAUGGUUUAUUGUUAUAUCUUGUAUUGUAUCAUUUGCAUAAAAAUUGUUGAGUAUAUCUGUUACUUCCAGCCACCUUGCCCAUUUCUUUUCCCAUUCCAGUGUGGAGUGCUUCUGCUGCACCAGUUUAUUUGUUUUCCAUAUAGUUAUUGAUAAAUGUCUACAUUGUGUUCAUUCUGCACAGUAGUCCAUUUGUAUUUCAUGUAUUAUAUUGUGUAUUUCUGGAUAAUAAUCAUAUUACUCCCAGCAGCUCUCCCCUUUCCACUUGCCAGAAUUGAGUGCCUUACUGUUUUCUACCAGCUGUUUACUCAUGUUUUUUGACUCCCAUCCAACCUCCUUCCUCCACAUUAACAUCACCCUAAGCUCUGACUCCCGCCGGAGUCAAUAGGAGUUUCGGCUCUCGCAAGAGCCUUACCUAUCGCCUUCACCUUCCAGUUUCCCCUGCCAAGUGUCGAGUGCUUCCGCUGCAUCAAUUUAUUUAUUCUUUAUAGUUAUUCACCAGUAUCGGCAUUAACAUAUUUAUUCUGCAUAGUAGUUCAUUAGCAUUUCAUGUUCUGUAUUUUGCAUAGUAACCUUGUUACUUCAACAGCACCCCCUUUUUUCUCUCCCCUUACCAGCGUUGUGGGCUCCCGCUGCAUUAGUAUCUUUCUUAUUGAUUAUUUUGCAUAUUAUGCAUAGUAAUUGUAUAGCAUAUUUUUGUUAAUUACAGCUGUUUUUCUUCUGCCAGCGCUAAGUGCUUCUGCUGCUUACUGCAUUUUAUUACGCAUAGUAUUUCCCUAAUGUUUCAUGUUUUUAUUUUAUUGUUAAUAUAUUAA